rfam:Oryza sativa (indica cultivar-group) chromosome 7, whole genome shotgun sequence.
AAAAAGGCAAACCGCAAGUUUACGUGCCAACGUUUGACUGUCCGUCUUAUAUGAAAUUUUUUUAUAAUUAGUAUUUUUAUUGUUGUUAGAUGAUAAAACAUGAUAAAUACUUUAUGUGUGACUUAUCUUUUUAAUUUUUUUUCAUAAUUUUUUCAAAUAAGACGGACGGUCAAACAUUGGACACGGAAACCAGAGUUUGUCUUUUUU